AUUGAACGCUGGCGGCAGGCCUAACACAUGCAAGUCGAGCGGAUGAAGGGAGCUUGCUCCUGGAUUCGGCGGCGGACGGGUGAGUAAUGCCUAGGAAUCUGCCUGGUAGUGGGGGAUAACGUCCGGAAACGGGCGCUAAUACCGCAUACGUCCUGAGGGAGAAAGUGGGGGAUCUUCGGACCUCACGCUAUCAGAUGAGCCUAGGUCGGAUUAGCUAGUUGGUGGGGUAAAGGCCUACCAAGGUGACGAUCCGUAACUGGUCUGAGAGGAUGAUCAGUCACACUGGAACUGAGACACGGUCCAGACUCCUACGGGAGGCAGCAGUGGGGAAUAUUGGACAAUGGGCGAAAGCCUGAUCCAGCCAUGCCGCGUGUGUGAAGAAGGUCUUCGGAUUGUAAAGCACUUUAAGUUGGGAGGAAGGGCAGUAAGUUAAUACCUUGCUGUUUUGACGUUACCAACAGAAUAAGCACCGGCUAACUUCGUG
rnacentral:rRNA from 1 species